rnacentral:miRNA from 1 species
UCUGGAUCAAAGAAGGUUGGA